CGCCCCGACCCGACCACGCCUCCCGCAGCCCGGCCUUAAACGCCUGCCACGCACCUCACAGGCCCUCACACAAGAGGCCGCUUUCCCCGCAGCGCAAUGGCGGCCAGUCUGCGUCCGCUCCGCGUUCCCAGCGCCGGGAAGUGCGCAACCCGAGUUCAGCAGUUGAUCCAGUCGGCGCCGAGGUGCUCAGAUGGAUUAGUGAGACGACCAAUUAGAGUUGCACACUGCGCCGAGGAGGCGGGCCCAUAGGCGGAAAGGCUUUGAACGCAAGGGGGUGUGGUCGGGGUGAAGCCCCGCCUCCUCCAUUUCCGAGGCUGUUUCUGGGGCCUCUGACAGACCUCAGCGUGAUGGGCUCCCGGCGUCGCACUGUGAGAGACCGAAGUCUAAAGGGUUUGAAUAAAUUUGCCAAGAUUGCGCAUUGUAC
rnacentral:antisense_RNA from 1 species